rnacentral:tRNA from 1 species
GCAUUGAUGGUCUAAUGGUAGAAUACUUGCCUUCCAAGCAAGUGGCCCGGGUUCGAUUCCCGGUCGAUGCA